GCCUGCCCAGUGACCCUGUUUAACGGCCGCGGUAUCCUAACCGUGCGAAGGUAGCGUAAUCACUUGUUCUCUAAAUGCGGACUAGUAUGAACGGCAUCACGAGGGUUAUACUGUCUCCUUUUUCUAAUCAGUGAAACUAAUCUCCCCGUGAAGAGGCGGGGAUAAAACUAUAAGACGAGAAGACCCUAUGGAGCUUUAAACAAUAUAGCACUUGCCUUUAACAUAAAAUUUCCGAAUCUUACUCCAAAGCAAUCUGACUAUAAGUUUUUGGUUGGGGUGACCACGGAGCAAAAUUUAACCUCCAUGUUGAAAGUUAAAGCUAAGAAUCACUCUUCUAAGCAUCAGUAUAUUGACAUCAAUUGACCCAAUACAUUUGAACAACGAACCAAGUUACCCUAGGGAUAACAGCGCA
rnacentral:rRNA from 1 species